UGCCUCAAAAUCUUUUACAAAAAAAAACUAAAACACUGCUUUCUGUUUUGCAUUAUUACGUGAUUUCUUUUCGGGGUCCUAGUCACAAAGAAUUAAGGCAAAACACAAAAUGCUGCACUCUCAAUCCCAUUCCCAUAUGAUACAUAAAAUUUAAAGGGGCAAUGAACAAUCCAAUGACUCAAAUGGAUAACAAAUAAUUUGUGAAAAGACCUUCCAAGUCAAUCAGUAAUAUUUCACCCCUGAAUACAAUAAAAACUUGACUAAGUUGCAAGUCAUUCAUAUUGGGAACAAACCGGAGUGAGGAAACCAUUUAUUCAAUUUAUUUUAUAGAGGAGGAUUAAAUGGAGAUGGCCUCAUCAAGGCUGUAAAGCUUGGGUCUGGAUGGGAGAGCUACAGCAUCUGCAACAACCUCCACUUGGGGCAGGGCUACAACACACAUGCAGGACAAAAGACAGGUCCCUGCCUUGUUGGCCUUCCAAUAAUCACUUCUGAAAACCCAACAUGAAACAUCCUCAUCAAAAGCAUUUUAUGAAUCUAUGGAAGUACACAAAAGAAAAUUAUCAUGGUGUUAGUUAUCUAAUGUUCAAGAUUAAGAAAAUGCACUUAGUGAAAAAAAAGAAAGAAAAGAUGAUGAAAAUGCAUAGAAAACCAACAAAGAAAAAGGUGCCGUUGUGGUGUCUUGAGCACAAUAGAUGAUGACCAUUUUGUGCAUUUGGAUCGCAAUGUAAUGGAAACCUUACGGGUUGAUUUCUUGGCUUCUGAUUUUGCUACAAUUGCAACACUAUCUUUAUUUUUCAUUCCCACCACUGACACCAUCUAACACCUUCAAAACAUUAACUCCUAAUCUAUUUGAAAAAAAUGGGUAGGGGUCUAUCUUCCCCAUUGAAUUACCCAAAAAAAAAAAUUACCCAAAAAUUAAAAACAAAACUAGACGUGGUGGGAGGAAUUGGCCGGGCCUAGCUUGGACCUAGUCGCUGUAGGGCUGGCCCAAGACCAGCUAGGCCAGAAUUGGCCCAAGAAGACCUGGCCCAGGCCCCGCUCUAGCCUUGACAGGGCAUGGCCAGGUUCAGGCUGCCAAAAUGCAAAAAAAAAAAAAAAAGAAGACAAAUAAAGGAAAAAAAUAAGGGAAAUAAAGGGCUGGCAAAGCUGGCCAAACGAGGCCGGCCCUAUAAUGACCCUGGCCCAAGCCUAGACCCAGCCUGGCCUAUACGAGGCCAUAGUUGCUUGCCCUUGGACCUGCCCUUGAGCCAUAUUUUAUGGUGGCUAAGGCCCUAGUUUUUUUAGAGUUGAGCCGAUCAGGCCGGGCUGGGCCAUUGCCAGAAAAAAAAUCAAAUUUUCUAGCUAAAGGAGAUACGCUUACCCUGGGUCAUGCGUGCGGCACUAGCAGGAGACAGGGAGCACAAGAAAAUAAGUAGUAAAAGAGCUGCAAGAGCAUGCUACAUGCCUCUCUUGCUUGCCAUCUCUCUUAAUUCUCACUUACAAUUUGUUAUGACACAAGAGAAGUUCUCCUAUUUAUAGGAUAAUUAAGCGGAUUGGAUUGGUUGACUUUGAACAUUGGAGGGAUUAUUUAAUGGGUGCGGUUUGUCUAGAGCCGAGGCUCUAAACAAUCAAAAU
rnacentral:lncRNA from 1 species